rnacentral:sRNA from 1 species
CGGAACUAAACUCGUGGUUCCUGUGGUUCACACCUGACCUCCUGAGCAGUAAAGAAAAAAGAAGGCGGCUCGGAGGAGCGCUUCAGGGAUCCCCGGGGAAACCUGGAGCGAACUGGCAAAAAGGACAGCGGGGAGUACCCUAGCGGCCGACAGGAGUAAUUCCCGCCGAAACAGGGUUUUCACCCUUCCUUUCUUCGGGUGUCCUUCCUCGCGCCCGCAGCAGCACCCCUCGCCCCUUUGCGCUGUCGCUUCGGCUACUACCCGGUGGAAACAACUGAAGCUCCCGAGAACCGCUUUUUCUCUAUCUUAUGUGCUUCGGGGCGAGGGUGUUUAGCCCUUGGAACCGCAGUUGGUUCCU